UUACGCUAUGGAAUCAUGUUUCUACCCGGUAGUCAACCCUCGCAUUAAUUUUUAAGUUGUUGUUUUGAAUUCUAUUAAAAAAAUUCAAAACAUGUAAAAUUAAAAAAAUAGUGUAGCAAUAAGUUUUGUAUUGCUAUGGCAUCUGUGUAUCGUACAUCAAAGUUAGAGUGAUUUUCAGCAAUAAGAAAACUGACAACAAAUGCAAGCAUUGGGAGAAACUUUUUUUGGAAAGUGCUGUUUAUGAAAAAAGUAUGAGUGUUUGUGAAACUACUGGCAACCUGCUUGUAUGGAAAGAUAUAAAAGUCUCAUUAACCAAAGUUUCAGGUAAACAUCCUAUAAGGUUAUUUUUUAUUGAUAGAUUUAAAAAAAUAGAUUAUUUUUGAAUGUAUUAUAGCCUAUGCCGAUGUAAUUUUGAAGUUGUGCAAGGGGGCAAGGAAUUUAGACGUUAAAGUACUUACACACAAACUAAUCUCAAUAUGCUUCAAGAAUUAAUAACAAAAAUAACUUUCAGAAGAUUACCAAUACUUUCUUCCUGCCAUCUUCAAAAUGUUUGAAAAAUUAAUUUACUGUGGAUGAGUGAAAUAAAAACGUUGUUUAAGAAGAAUUUUUACUACAUUUAUAAACAGUAAUUUUUGUUUGACAAUUGCUGUUUUCACAUUUU
rnacentral:lncRNA from 1 species